rnacentral:lncRNA from 1 species
AAAUAAUUUAGGGGUUAUAAAUGUUAAAAUAAAGUAUUAAAUAUAAAUGUUAAGACUUAGUUAUAAAGUUAAAGUUAUAAAACUAAAGAAUUUUAGAAAUUACAAAUUAGGUUUAGAUAUAAAAAGAGUUUAUGAAUUGGUAUUUAGUUUAAGUUUAGAGUUUUAGUGUUUGAAAUAUAAUGUUUGAAAAUGGUUUUUCUUAGCGUUAUGAAAAUGCUAUUAUAUGCUUUUGAUAUGAUUACUGAAGCCGCUAAAUAAUGUCUUUGACGCUUAAGUAUAAUUUCCCGCUAAGUAUUGGUGGGUUCAAUAAUUUUAUCUUCCGCUCACUUAAUUUUUAAAAUAACAUUAAUUAAGUGCUAUUUUAGGAUUUACUCUAUCAUAGCAUUUAUCUAAUGCUAUUAUAGAGUACCGAAAUUUCAAACUCAUCUACGAUAGCAGU